rnacentral:misc_RNA from 1 species
UCUCACCUUACGGUGGCAGUUUCGCUAGAGUCCCCGGCAUUACCCGCUGGCAACUAACGAUAAGGGUUGCGCUCGUUAUGGGACUUAACCCGACACCUCACGGCACGAGCUGACGACAACCAUGCAGCACCUUGCAAAGAGUCCCGAAGGAAAGAAGUGUUUCCACCUCAUGCACUCUACAUUUAAGCCCAGGUAAGGUUCCUCGCGUAUCAUCGAAUUAAACCACAUGUUCCUCCGCUUGUGCGGGCCCCCGUCAAUUCCUUUGAGUUUCAACCUUGCGGCCGUACUCCCCAGGUGGAUUACUUAUUGCUUUUGCUUAGCCGCUGACUGUGUAUCGCCAACAGCGAGUAAUCAUCGUUUACGGCGUGGACUAC